GGGCAACAGCUCAGAUUUGAAAUCUGGCCCCGUCGGGGUCCGAGUUGUNAUCUGCAGAGAGUGCUUCGGGCGAGACCGCGGUCUAAGUCCCUUGGAACAUGGCCUCAGAGAGGGUGAGAAUCCCGUAUGCGACCGUGGCUCGAGCCCGUGUGAAGCCUCUUCGWAGAGUCGAGUUGUUUGGGAAUGCAGCUCAAAGUGGGUGGUAAAUUUCAUCUAAAGCUAAAUACUGGCUGGAGACCGAUAGCGCACAAGUAGAGUGAUCGAAAGAUGAAAAGCACUUUGGAAAGAGAGUCAAAAAGUACGUGAAAUUGUUGAAAGGGAAGCGCUUGCAACCAGACCUGCCCGUAGGCGAUCAGCCGCUGUUCUCAGCGGUGCACUCGCUCUGCGAUCAGGCCAGCAUCGGUUUCGGCGGUUGGAUAAAGGCCUUGGGAAUGUAGCUCCCCUUCGGGGGAGUCUUAUAGCCCUCGGUGCAAUGCGGCCAGCCGAGACCGAGGACCGCGCUUCGGCAGAUG
rnacentral:rRNA from 1 species